UACGUAGGGGGCAAGCGUUGUCCGGAUUCAUUGGGCGUAAAGAGCGUGUAGGCGGCCAGGUAGGUCGGUUGUGAAAACUGGAGGCUCAACCUUCAGAGGUCGACCGAAACCAUCUGGCUAGAGUCCGGUAGAGGAGAGUGGAAUUCCUGGUGUAGCGGUGAAAUGCGCAGAUAUCAGGAAGAACACCCGUGGCGAAAGCGGCUCUCUGGAACGGUACUGACGCUGAGACGCGAAAGCGUGGGGAGCGAACAGG
rnacentral:rRNA from 1 species